rnacentral:rRNA from 1 species
AUGGGAAGCCGUGGGAACCAGGCAAGCCAAAUUUCACCGGUGCCGGUGAGGGAGAAGGUUGGUGGGCAUCAUCUAAGUGUGUCCAGUGAUCGUGAGCAUGUCAUAGACAAAAGACUGGAUAAAGUAUGGGCAAAGAGGAAGGAGGAUGUGCUGCUGAGGUACGUACACACCGGUCAGAGCCGGACGCCAAUUACAGCGAGUAUACUUUUGUUGCAUGAUUGCACCCAUACUAUCACUUUUAUGACUUACAUGAAUUUUGGAAAUUUACCCGUUCUCCUCUUUCUUAUUUACAUUGUUAUUUGCCAUACAAAGAGGUCCAUCAGCACUUCUUGA